GACGGUUGUCCCGGUUUAAGCGUGUAGGUGUGUGUUCCAGGUAAAUCCGGUUCACUUUAACACUGAGGCGUGAUGACGAGGCACUACGGUGCUGAAGUAACAAAUGCCCUGCUUCCAGGAAAAGCCUCUAAGCAUCAGGUAACAUCAAAUCGUACCCCAAACCGACACAGGUGGUCAGGUAGAGAAUACCAAGGCGCUUGAGAGAACUCGGGUGAAGGAACUAGGCAAAAUGGUGCCGUAACUUCGGGAGAAGGCACGCUGACACGUAGGUGAAGUGAUUUACUCACGGAGCUGAAGUCAGUCGAAGAUACCAGCUGGCUGCAACUGUUUAUUAAAAACACAGCACUGUGCAAACACGAAAGUGGACGUAUACGGUGUGACGCCUGCCCGGUGCCGGAAGGUUAAUUGAUGGGGUCAGCGCAAGCGAAGCUCCUGAUCGAAGCCCCGGUAAACGGCGGCCGUAACUAUAACGGUCCUAAGGUAGCGAAAUUCCUUGUCGGGUAAGUUCCGACCUGCACGAAUGGCGUAAUGAUGGCCAGGCUGUCUCCACCCGAGACUCAGUGAAAUUGAACUCGCUGUGAAGAUGCAGUGUACCCGCGGCAAGACGGAAAGACCCCGUGAACCUUUACUAUAGCUUGACACUGAACAUUGAGCCUUGAUGUGUAGGAUAGGUGGGAGGCUUUGAAGUGUGGACGCCAGUCUGCAUGGAGCCGACCUUGAAAUACCACCCUUUAAUGUUUGAUGUUCUAACGUGGACCCGUUACCCGGGUUGCGGACAGUGUCUGGUGGGUAGUUUGACUGGGGCGGUCUCCUCCUAAAGAGUAACGGAGGAGCACGAAGGUUGGCUAAUCCUGGUCGGACAUCAGGAGGUUAGUGCAAUGGCAUAAGCCAGCUUGACUGCGAGCGUGACGGCGCGAGCAGGUGCGAAAGCAGGUCAUAGUGAUCCGGUGGUUCUGAAUGGAAGGGCCAUCGCUCAACGGAUAAAAGGUACUCCGGGGAUAACAGGCUGAUACCGCCCAAGAGUUCAUAUCGACGGCGGUGUUUGGCACCUCGAUGUCGGCUCAUCACAUCCUGGGGCUGAAGCAGGUCCCAAGGGUAUGGCUGUUCGCCAUUUAAAGUGGUACGCGAGCUGGGUUUAGAACGUCGUGAGACAGUUCGGUCCCUAUCUGCCGUGGGCGCUGGAGAACUGAGGGGGGCUGCUCCUAGUACGAGAGGACCGGAGUGGACGCAUCACUGGUGUUCGGGUUGUCAUGCCAAUGGCACUGCCCGGUAGCUAAAUGCGGAAGAGAUAAGUGCUGAAAGCAUCUAAGCACGAAACUUGCCCCGAGAUGAGUUCUCCCUGAGACUUAGAGUCUCCUGAAGGAACGUUGAAGACGACGACGUUGAUAGGCCGGGUGUGUAAGCGCAGCGAUGCGUUGAGCUAACCGGUACUAAUGAACCGUGAGGCUUAACC
rnacentral:rRNA from 1 species